rnacentral:lncRNA from 1 species
ACCGCCUGCUCCAGCCGCUCGCAGCCCUGCACGUAAGCCGAUUCCAGGUCCACGCAGUGUGCCCGGCUCUCCCUGCAGAAGGCGGCGGGUGAGGCCCGCUCCAGCGGCCCCCAGCCCCCUCCCCUCGCGUCCCCUGUACGCACUUCUGCAUGUCGCGGAAGCAGCGGAUGCACAACAGCAACUUCUUGUCGGUGGAGAACAAGAGGCACUUGGCGCUCUGAUAUACCCACUUUACAGAGGAGGGCACUGCGGCUCAGAGGCUGGAAUGUUCCAACUGCCACCUCCAGGAUAAAGAAGCAAGAGUGGAUGACACCAGACAGGACAGGAGCAAGCAGGAAGCAAAGCCCCCUAUUGAUAGAGCCAAACCGGGAUCAGCUGGAAAGCAGAAGUGUUUGCAGAGGCCCAGCCUGAUCAUUAUAGAGCCAAGAACAGCAGCUGGCUUUGGAGCUUGGUCAACCGGCUUGAGGCCUGAGUUGAAAGCUAGACCCAUCAGCACAGUCUCUUCUGGUGAUUGGACUUUUGC